GAAAGAGGCGGAAACGCCGCCACCCCUAACGCCGGAAACGCCGGCCGCUACGCCCAGCCGCCGGGGCUCACCUCCAAGAUGCCGCCGCCACCCGUACUCGCUGGAACCGUCGCCGCCACCCCUCUUUGCCAGAGCCGCCGGCGCUCUCUCCCGACGCCGCUGCUCAUAAUUGGGCACCCCAGGCCUGAGACCCAGCAGAAUCUUUGGACAAAAUUUUACAACACUUGUACUAGCUCACCUUCCUCUUCACCACCAAGAACGCAAGAACGCAGCGAGAGAGGAGAUUCAAGAACCAGAGGAAUUGAUGUCGUCUUCGGCUAUGAUUCCACCGCCGUCGCCGGAGAGGAGGGUGCCGAUGGUGGCCGACGACGGAGGUGGAGGACAUGGGAUGAGAUGGUGGCGUCCGUCUCCAUCCACUACUUCAUCUGCCACAUGUGCCACCACGCCGCCGCCCGGGGCUCGUCGGCCUUCUCCGCCGCGUCGUCGGCGUCUUCCUCUGCUGCGCCGGUGCUUCCCAUCGUGGUGCGUCCCGCGUUGGCGGAGCACGCGGCGGACAUGGAGCGGCUCAUCUCGCAGCUGCCGCUCUUCACGCUGGCGUCGUCGCUGGCGGCGCUCCCGAAGUCGUCCCGCGCCUGCUGCCGCCAUCCCCUGCUUCUCCGCGCCGUCUCCGGCGAGGAAGGUGACUGUCACUGUCGAACAGAGGGGUAAAGAUGGAAAU
rnacentral:lncRNA from 1 species